UCUCUAGCAGUCGGUGGUGUUUUCCUGUCUUCUGUGGGCCAAGAGGCCCUGUCCGUCCAGGCCUUUGAAUCUGUGACUCCACAGCGCCUUCCAGUCAGCGAGAGCCUUCUGUCCUGCACUGGUCCCAGGACAAAGAGAUUUAUCUGCUGAGGUUGAGGAGAUGGGAAUAGAGCAAGCAAGAGAACAUCAAGCAACAUUAGACGUUGAAAGGCACAAUGACACUUCCAGCAUCUUCCUCGUUCUCGGGACGCCUGACCCACACCCUCUGCCAGUGAGCAAGCAGCUCCCAUCAGGCAGCUUCUUCAGGGUACAGCGAGUCCAACCCUCGGCCUGAGCAGGAACACCGUUUCUCCCCACCGCAGAAGCGGACAGAUGCUCUAUGAACCUGGAGGAUGCAUCUUGGAAAUCUCAGCAAGAAUCCAGCCACACACCGGACUUCACCUGCCAGCCACUGCGAUGUGGCCCCUGCCGAGCUGAACCCUCUGCUGCUCCCCCACCCCACCCCGGGGGAGUGACGCUGGCCUCCCCCAGCCACCCCAGGAUGCCCAGGCCGUAGCCCUGCUUCCUUUGCCUUUUCCACUGCUGUCCCUUUCCGAUGCCAGCUCAUCCCUGCUUAUGCUGCUGUCCUCAGCUCAAAGCUCACUUCUCCCCAAGCUGUCCCUGAAACUCCAGCCCAGGUAAAACCCUGCUUCUGUCUUUCCCCAAACCAGUGAAUGUGAUUCGCAUUUGUGCCUUUGGCAGCUCUGCCCUUAUUCAAUGUCCCGCUAAACUCAAGCUCUGUGAAGGUAGGGAUGACCGGUGCUGUGCUCCUGGAUGACUCCCUGCCAAGCAUAGCUCUGGCAUAGGAUUGGGCUCCCUUUGGCAGAGUCAGGAGCUGAGGAAGGAAAGCCUGGCUGCUUCCUUCCAGAAGAGCUGUGCUCUGCACUUCUGUGGAGCCCACCGACGACUGUCGAUACAGCUCUUACAGUGUCCAGGCGGGAUUCUGAGGCGUCCUUUACCCUUACAACUCCACGACAGUUAGAGCGUCAUGAAAAUCCAGAACAAAAGAAAACACUGAAAGGGACCUAGGUUUAUGGGGAAAACACGAGGCAGGGGGGAUUGACUUUAGUGUCAUUCAACUAGUUAGUUUCCAAGGUUUUUCUUUUUUUAUCACAAGACAUUUUUAUUUAAAAAACACUUUUAUUAGUACGUGUUUCAGUACAGAACAAUUGCGUUCACGUGGGGAAUUGGUCCAUGGACGUGGCACAUCCUUACUCUUCUUAUGCCUUCUCCCCUCCCUCCAUCCCCUCUCUAGGUUCCCUUCCCUUGACCCUCAACCCCAUGAUCUUCUCCACUGUACAUGUCGAUUUAGAACCCAGAAGCAAUCUUUGUAAAGACAAAAAGGAUCUUUUAUCUAGCUUUGGGCCUCACUGAAUAUUAAAAUACAUGAGAAAGACCAGUAGCUAAUAACUGUCACAUAACUUUGAUAGUUUAGACUAUCAAAAUAAGACAUCAGCAUUCCCACCAAAUUUGUCAUUUUUAAUCUUCCCAGACCAGGGUCUUCUGAUGAUGUUUACUUCCAUUAAUCCUGGAGUCCUGUAGAUUUAUUUAGAUCACCAUUGCGCUACAGCCAAAAUUAUUUACCAACUCUUUUUAUAAGUUUUUGCUGACUGGGUUAUAUAAUUUUUCUUUGGUCUAAAAGUUCCUUUAAGCUCUUUAGUUUCCAGGGGCAAGCGAAUCCUAUCUGCAAUUCCUUCAGAACCUCAGACAUAUAGAAAUAAAUAUUGCUAACUAACUUUGGCACCAGUGAAGAGAGGAUCAAACGGUAUAACUUUACCCCUGGGUAGAAUCCAUUUAUUUGUUCUUCCUUUGCUUCUCAGAGAGAUUUCGUCAAUUUGAAAUUGGUAGUAGGUACUCACUAUUUAACUUAGGACCUGCUUUAGCUUCCACAGGAAGUCUUUAUCCCUUCACUGUAAAAGAAAGAAAGAACACAUGCAGGAAAGCCUUGCGCAAAUGGCUCACCCUGGCAGUAAGUGUUCAGAGGGUUCAAAGACACUGGUGAGGGGCACACAGGACCCCACAGGCACGAAGCCUUUAAGGGGCGAGCCGAAGCUGCACGUGCCACUCCGAGACAACUAACUCCAAGGAAGACCUUCCUGAAGGGAGCUGGGAGGAAAAUGAGCCUCUUAUUAGUUUCUCAGACUGCUUUGGCCUGGUGAACCAUGGGCUUUGACUACAGAAGGUGGGGAGUGUGGGCUCCAGCCAAGCGCUGUCACUGAUAAGAAACGGCUCCGACAGACGUCAAUCUGUUCCCGUUCACAGGGCUGUCUCCGCUCCCUCUCCUCCCAGUUAUUAAGCAACAGUGUCAGUCACGGCCCGCUCCUCUUUUCUCUUUUUAUUAAUGAUUUAACAUGGAUAUGUCAUUACUGCUCUAUACAUCUUUAUGCAGAUGGCUCGACUGUGCAUUUUAAUGGCAAAUCUGUUUCGCACUUAACUACUGAACUGCAAAAAGACUUUGGCAGACUGGUUCCAGGAAAACAAACUGGUUUUCAAAGCAGCAAAAACUAAAACAAUGCUUUUUGGCUCUACUGCUCAACAGAGCUUGAAUAGUGAUUACUUUGAAAGCCAGAAAGAUCUGAGAAAAUGGCUUAUUAGAGACAAUUUAAAAAUAUUAGGUUCCACUUGAGUUUAUGUUGACAAGUACGUUAUAUAUUAUUUUCUGAAGAAUUAGACUAGACCACAGGAAGAAGU